UUCCUGAUGGUCCAGUGGUUAGGACUCUGUACUUCUACUGUAGUGGGCACGGGUUCUAUCCCUGGUUGGGGAA
rnacentral:tRNA from 1 species